GGGGCCGUAGCUCAGUUGGGAGAGCGCUUGUAUGGCAUACAAGAGGUCGUCGGUUCGAUCCCGAUCGGCUCCA
rnacentral:tRNA from 2 species